CGUCAGCUCUGUGUAGGGCAACGAUUCUCCGAGUUGAAUAACACGUACAGCUAACGUAACGGAUUAUUCCGAGUAAGCCAUGCAAAACACGCCCGCUUGCUGUGAGUCCAUAUGGUUUCCUAGGCCUAUUGCUGGUUAGUAAGGACGAAAGCACCCAGCAGCUUGAGUCAUGCCAAUCCACUUGCAUGUUAUUUUCAAAGAAAACUACAAACAUGAUAACAGAGGUUGCAUUGGGUACUCGAGGAUUUCUUAAAACUGGACUAAUGACUUCUGAUGUGUUUGAUCAAACGAAGAGAUAACUCAAUACUUCUCCUUAGCUACAGAGCUGUUUCUGACAGUGAACCCGCGUCAAUUGAGUAAUGGCAGUUUUUUGCGGGGAACGCAGUGAGUCGGGAAUAGAACUUUACAUGAAUUUACUGACGUCAGUUCAUCAAGAGUGCGAGCAUCGCUUCAUGUUUUGUUGCUGUGCAACACUGUUGUCUAAUUGCCAGAGAAAACUACAUAAUUUAUGCUUGGGAAGAUAUUACAAGUGGUGCUAAAGAGCCAAAAGUAAACAAAGAAGACAGGAAGUUAUUUAAGUAUGGACAAGAUUGACGAGGAUUUUAGACGCUAUUAUUUAAAAAAUGUCCGGCCAUAUUUCUUUAAAACAUCCAGAAACCUAGACAUACAGCUCAUUUGAUGAUAAAUUGAAAAAAGGACUCGAUUUUAGGAAAGUCUACCUUCGAAGCUCUAACAAUACUGGGCGAAUUGCGCAUCGAAUUAAUUUGGUUAUCAGUUUUCAAGUAAAAUAGAAUCAAGUUUGGUUUAAAACAAAAUUGUUCUCGUAAAGAGGUUCACGUGAUGACUUAAAGGAACUUUCGAAAGUGGAAAUAUCAAGUGGCAACACAAACAAGGGCGCAAAACUAGGAACUCAAGAUUGUUUGUACU